UACGUAGGGUGCAGGCGUUAAUCGGAAUUACUGGGCGUAAAGCGUGCGCAGGCGGUCUUUUAAGUCAGAUGUGAAAUCCCCGGGCUUAACCUGGGAACUGCGUUUGAAACUGAAAGGCUAGAGUGUGGCAGAGGGGGGUGGAAUUCCACGUGUAGCAGUGAAAUGCGUAGAGAUGUGGAGGAACACCAAUAGCGAAGGCAGCUCGCUGGGACGGUACUGACGCUAAGGCGCGAAAGCGUGGGGAGCGAACAGG
rnacentral:rRNA from 1 species